rnacentral:rRNA from 1 species
GAUGAACGCUAGCGGCAGGCCUAAUACAUGCAAGUCGAACGGUGUAGCAAUACACAGUGGCGCACGGGUGCGUAACACGUAUGCAACCUACCUUACAUUGGGGGAUAGCCUUUCGAAAGGGAGAUUAAUACCGCAUAAGACAGUAACUAGGCAUCUAGUAGCUGUUAAAGAUUUAUCGAUGUAAGCUGGGCAUGCGUCCAAUUAGUUAGUUGGCGAGGUAAUGGCUCACCAAGACGAUGAUUGGUAGGGGAACUGAGAGGUCAAUCCCCCACAAUGGCACUGAGAUACGGGCCAGACUCCUACGGGAGGCAGCAGUAGGGAAUAUUGGGCAAUGGGCGCAAGCCUGACCCAGCCAUGCCGCGUGCAGGAAGAAGGCGUUAUGCGUUGUAAACUGCUUUUAUACAGGAAGAAACGACCCUUGCGAGGGGCAUUGACGGUACUGUAUGAAUAAGCACCGGCUAACUCCGUGCCAGCCGCCGCUGUAAAAC